rnacentral:lncRNA from 1 species
AUUUAUGCAAUAUUUGGUUUUAUGUAAUAUAAACAUUUGCAUUCUCCAAAUAAACGAUUCAUUUGUGUUUUGUGUGAGCGAUAGAAUUUUUCUAUUCAGUGUUAUGCAUGGUUUCUUGGUAACUUCUAGUUUGAUUUUGAAAAACCACAAAAAAAGGAAUUGAAUGGUAUUACUUAUUUCGUCAAGAGGAAGAAACUUAUAAUAUCGUAGCUGCUCAUG